GCUCCCUUCCCUUCCUAAGACUGUUCCUGUGACCGGAAGGUGCUGAAAGAAACACAUUUCGAGUAGUAAAAACAAGUGUCCAGGAAGGAGCUUUCAUCAGCUUAUAACAAACGAGGGACUCAUGUUUCUCCACCUGGAUCUGGAAUGGACUGGAGAGAAACAGCAGGGAGCUGUGAGCAGCUGGCGGCAGGAGCCACCCUGCUCUUAGCAGCACUAGUUGGCUGCUGAGUGGCCCCUAUUUGACUCUUUUGUUGUUGCUCCCUAUAUGACCCUUCCUCCUCUCCCCCAUCUCCUUCCCUUCCCUUCCUUUCCCUUCCCUUCCCUUCCCUUCCCUUCCCUUCCCUUCCCUUCCCCCUCCUUCCCUUCCUUCCUUUUCUUUCUUUUUUCUUUUCAGUUUCUGCUUUUCACACAGGAUCUCACAUAGCCCAGGCUGGCCUUGAAUGUACCACAUAGGGGGGCUGAGUAUUGCACAGCUACCCACAGCAACACUACCUGCUCCAGAGACAAUGAAGCUGAAGAAUGUCUUGCAGAAGGAAAAUGCCUCUCAGCCCUGAAACUAGGAACACUAAAGAGGGUCAAAGCACCGUGGAGAAAGUGAGAGUACACUGAGUUCUAGUCAUUUCCUCUGUGACUUGAAUUUCCUCAAGAGAAUAAACUCAGAUGUGAUUGGAAGAAGGCUCCUUCUGGGAAUACAGAAACACUAAAGAAGACCAUGGGCCAUGGACUGUUUCAGAGAUAGUCACACUGGGGACUAUGACCUCCUGAAAUUUAUAUGGCAGGAGAGUGUGCAAGGUGGAGGAGCCAAGGAGACAGUGCGCAGGGACCAUGCAAUGAUACCUGGUCAAAGCACUAGAAUCCAGCUGAAGGGAGAGUAGUGGAGAGAGGCAGAAGUGAGGAGAAAUAGACCUACAGUGGUCCUGCUAGUGCACAUGUGCUGUUAGCAUUACAGGCUCUUGUCAGCUUUUGUACCAUUGCAGUGACUUGUCUUUCUCAGACAGAGCUCUUACAUAACUCUCCAAAUGCCACUCGAACACUUGAAUACUGCUUUAUUGUCCAUGCGAAGGCAAAAGCUUGCUAGGCAGAACCAACUCUUUUUGUUGCAUGUCUUUUGAGCAUAAUAUUAUGUCUUCAUCAACAGUAGGAUUGCAUCACAGAACAUUCCCCUGAGCAGGGAGAGGACUGAAGAGAGAUGGCAUAAAGCUUACAGGUUCCUGGAGAUGAUGCACCACCCAUCAAUUCAGGCUUCUGGAUAUGAUACUGAUGGUAAACUGCCCCCUUGGUGUGGCAACACUUGAAGUGCCAUCUCUGGGACCCUCUAGUAACUUGUCAAAGGUGGACUGAUGGCUUGAAGAAACUUCACCUUAGAAAGGAUGGUGCUUCACUACGUUUUCCAGGAUGGUGAAGCAGGACAAGGUGGUUCCUCGUUUCGUUGUGCAGCUAACAAGUGUGCGCUCUCAUUUGCUUCUGAUUUUCUGCAGUGCUAGAGCAAUGGGCUCAAGUCACCAUUGAACACAUGCAGAAAUCAGUGGAUCCUGCAGGGUCUUAUCUGUUUCUUUGGAGCAGUGGCUUCAAAGGAUAUGAUGGUGGAGGAAGACUGACCAAAGACAGGAAGGGACCAGGCUUCCCUGUUGCCAAUGACAUGGCUUCCUUCCAAAAUGCUCUACCUUUUAAAGAUACUGUUACCUCCCAGUAGCAUCAUGGGCUGAGGACAAAGCCUUCAACACAUGGACCUUUGGUGGAAAUUUGAGAUCUAAAUGGAUUUCAGACACUGGAUAUAUAAGUUCAUUGCAGAAUAUUCCAUCAGAGGACAUAUAAAAUCAAUAGUCAAUCCUCUUUUACUUAAAGAAGAAUUGGGGCAUGAUGAAAAGAAUAUGGAAGUCUUCCAAUAGCUGGGCCCUCAGCUGUGGACCACAGAGGGAGAUGCUUUUCAGCUUACCAUCUUAUUGAAGUUAGAGGAAGAUAUGCUGUGAAGAUAUGCUUGAAUAUUUAUUUGAACAGCCUCAGACUAUUCUCAGCUCUCCAUCCACAUGCCUCAAAGAAUUUCUAUACAAACCAAGGAAAGAAAUUAAAAAAAAAAAAAAAAAGAGGAAUCCUGGAAAUAGCAUCCAGAAGGUGCUGGAGAGAUGGCUCAGUAGUUAAGAGCAAUUACCGCUCUUGCAGAAGACAAGGGUUUGGUUGCCAAAACCCACAUCAAGCUGGUCACAACCACCUAUCACUCCAGG
rnacentral:lncRNA from 1 species